rnacentral:rRNA from 1 species
UACGAAGGGUGCAAGCGUUACUCGGAAUUACUGGGCGUAAAGGGUGCGUAGGUUGGUUGUUUUAAGUCUGUUGUGAAAGCCCCCGGGCUCAACCUGGGAAUGGCAAUGGAUACUGGACAGCUAGAGUGCGGUAGAGGGUAGUGGAAUUCCCGGUGUAGCAGUGAAAUGCGUAGAGAUCGGGAGGAACACCAGUGGCGAAGGCGGUCUGCUGGGCAGUUUCUGACACUGAUGCGCGACAGCGUGGGGGAGCAAACAGGG